rnacentral:rRNA from 1 species
AAUCUUCCGCAAUGGACGCAAGUCUGACGGAGCAACGCCGCGUGAGUGAUGAAGGNUUNNGGAUCNUNAAACUCUGUUGGUAGNNNNNAACACGUACCGUUUGAAUAAGGCGGUACCUUGACGGUACCUAACGAGAAAGCCCCGGCUAGACACGCGCCAGCAGCCGCGGUAAUACGUAGGGGGCAAGCGUUGUCCGGAAUUAUAUGGCGUAAAGCGCGCGCAGGCGCUCUUUUAAGUCUGAUGUGAAAGCCCACGGCUCAACCGUGGAGGGUCAUUGGAAACUGGGAGACUUGAGUGUAGGAGAGGAAAGUGGAAUUCCACGUGUAGCGGUGAAAUGCGUAGAGAUGUGGAGGAACACCAGUGGCGAAGGCGACUUUCUGGCCUACAACUGACGCUGAGGCGCGAAAGCGUGGGUAGCGAACA